GACGAACGCUGGCGGCGUGCCUAAUACAUGCAAGUCGACCUUAGUGGCGAACGGGUGAGUAACACGUGGGUAACCUGCCCAUCAGAAGGGGAUAACACUUGGAAACAGGUGCUAAUACAGUAUACUGCUGGAUGGACCCGCGGUGCAUUAGCUAGGUGGUGAGGAAACGGCUCACCAAGGCCACUAUGCAUAGCCGACCUGGUAGGGUGAUCUGCCCCAUUGGGACUGAGACACGUCCCAAACUACUACGGGAAGCAGCAUCAGGAAAUCUUCGGCAAUGGACGAAAGUCUUACCGAGCCACGCCAGGUGAGUGAAGAAGGUUUUCGGAGCGUGAAACUCUGUUGUUAGAGAAGCGGUAUCUAACCAGAAAGCCACGGCUAACUACGUGCCAGCCGCCGCGGUAAUUC
rnacentral:rRNA from 1 species